GGGUUGUGAGGUUAAGCGACUAAGCGUACACGGUGGAUGCCCUGGCAGUCAGAGGCGAUGAAGGACGUGCUAAUCUGCGAUAAGCGUCGGUAAGGUGAUAUGAACCGUUAUAACCGGCGAUUUCCGAAUGGGGAAACCCAGUGUGAUUCGUCACACUAUCAUUAACUGAAUUCAUAGGUUAAUGAGGCGAACCGGGGGAACUGAAACAUCUAAGUACCCCGAGGAAAAGAAAUCAACCGAGAUUCCCCCAGUAGCGGCGAGCGAACGGGGAGGAGCCCAGAGCCUGAAUCAGUGUGUGUGUUAGUGGAAGCGUCUGGAAAGGCGCGCGAUACAGGGUGACAGCCCCGUACACAAAAAUGCACAUGCUGUGAGCUCGAUGAGUAGGGCGGGACACGUGGUAUCCUGUCUGAAUAUGGGGGGACCAUCCUCCAAGGCUAAAUACUCCUGACUGACCGAUAGUGAACCAGUACCGUGAGGGAAAGGCGAAAAGAACCCCGGCGAGGGGAGUGAAAAAGAACCUGAAACCGUGUACGUACAAGCAGUGGGAGCCUCUUUAUGGGGUGACUGCGUACCUUUUGUAUAAUGGGUCAGCGACUUAUAUUCUGUAGCAAGGUUAACCGAAUAGGGGAGCCGAAGGGAAACCGAGUCUUAACUGGGCGUUAAGUUGCAGGGUAUAGACCCGAAACCCGGUGAUCUAGCCAUGGGCAGGUUGAAGGUUGGGUAACACUAACUGGAGGACCGAACCGACUAAUGUUGAAAAAUUAGCGGAUGACUUGUGGCUGGGGGUGAAAGGCCAAUCAAACCGGGAGAUAGCUGGUUCUCCCCGAAAGCUAUUUAGGUAGCGCCUCGUGAACUCAUCUCCGGGGGUAGAGCACUGUUUCGGCAAGGGGGUCAUCCCGACUUACCAACCCGAUGCAAACUGCGAAUACCGGAGAAUGUUAUCACGGGAGACACACGGCGGGUGCUAACGUCCGUCGUGAAGAGGGAAACAACCCAGACCGCCAGCUAAGGUCCCAAAGUCAUGGUUAAGUGGGAAACGAUGUGGGAAGGCCCAGACAGCCAGGAUGUUGGCUUAGAAGCAGCCAUCAUUUAAAGAAAGCGUAAUAGCUCACUGGUCGAGUCGGCCUGCGCGGAAGAUGUAACGGGGCUAAACCAUGCACCGAAGCUGCGGCAGCGACGCUUAUGCGUUGUUGGGUAGGGGAGCGUUCUGUAAGCCUGCGAAGGUGUACUGUGAGGUAUGCUGGAGGUAUCAGAAGUGCGAAUGCUGACAUAAGUAACGAUAAAGCGGGUGAAAAGCCCGCUCGCCGGAAGACCAAGGGUUCCUGUCCAACGUUAAUCGGGGCAGGGUGAGUCGACCCCUAAGGCGAGGCCGAAAGGCGUAGUCGAUGGGAAACAGGUUAAUAUUCCUGUACUUGGUGUUACUGCGAAGGGGGGACGGAGAAGGCUAUGUUGGCCGGGCGACGGUUGUCCCGGUUUAAGCGUGUAGGCUGGUUUUCCAGGCAAAUCCGGAAAAUCAAGGCUGAGGCGUGAUGACGAGGCACUACGGUGCUGAAGCAACAAAUGCCCUGCUUCCAGGAAAAGCCUCUAAGCAUCAGGUAACAUCAAAUCGUACCCCAAACCGACACAGGUGGUCAGGUAGAGAAUACCAAGGCGCUUGAGAGAACUCGGGUGAAGGAACUAGGCAAAAUGGUGCCGUAACUUCGGGAGAAGGCACGCUGAUACGUAGGUGAAGCGACUUGCUCGUGGAGCUGAAAUCAGUCGAAGAUACCAGCUGGCUGCAACUGUUUAUUAAAAACACAGCACUGUGCAAACACGAAAGUGGACGUAUACGGUGUGACGCCUGCCCGGUGCCGGAAGGUUAAUUGAUGGGGUUAGCGGUAACGCGAAGCUCUUGAUCGAAGCCCCGGUAAACGGCGGCCGUAACUAUAACGGUCCUAAGGUAGCGAAAUUCCUUGUCGGGUAAGUUCCGACCUGCACGAAUGGCGUAAUGAUGGCCAGGCUGUCUCCACCCGAGACUCAGUGAAAUUGAACUCGCUGUGAAGAUGCAGUGUACCCGCGGCAAGACGGAAAGACCCCGUGAACCUUUACUAUAGCUUGACACUGAACAUUGAGCCUUGAUGUGUAGGAUAGGUGGGAGGCUUUGAAGUGUGGACGCCAGUCUGCAUGGAGCCGACCUUGAAAUACCACCCUUUAAUGUUUGAUGUUCUAACGUUGGCCCCUAAUCGGGGUUGCGGACAGUGUCUGGUGGGUAGUUUGACUGGGGCGGUCUCCUCCUAAAGAGUAACGGAGGAGCACGAAGGUUGGCUAAUCCUGGUCGGACAUCAGGAGGUUAGUGCAAUGGCAUAAGCCAGCUUGACUGCGAGCGUGACGGCGCGAGCAGGUGCGAAAGCAGGUCAUAGUGAUCCGGUGGUUCUGAAUGGAAGGGCCAUCGCUCAACGGAUAAAAGGUACUCCGGGGAUAACAGGCUGAUACCGCCCAAGAGUUCAUAUCGACGGCGGUGUUUGGCACCUCGAUGUCGGCUCAUCACAUCCUGGGGCUGAAGUAGGUCCCAAGGGUAUGGCUGUUCGCCAUUUAAAGUGGUACGCGAGCUGGGUUUAGAACGUCGUGAGACAGUUCGGUCCCUAUCUGCCGUGGGCGCUGGAGAACUGAGGGGGGCUGCUCCUAGUACGAGAGGACCGGAGUGGACGCAUCACUGGUGUUCGGGUUGUCAUGCCAAUGGCACUGCCCGGUAGCUAAAUGCGGAAGAGAUAAGUGCUGAAAGCAUCUAAGCACGAAACUUGCCCCGAGAUGAGUUCUCCCUGACUCCCUGAGAGUUCCUGAAGGAACGUUGAAGACGACGACGUUGAUAGGCCGGGUGUGUAAGCGCAGCGAUGCGUUGAGCUAACCGGUACUAAUGAACCGUGAGGCUUAACCUUACAACGCCGAAG
rnacentral:rRNA from 1 species